UGGGCUAAUCAUCGUAGUGCAUUCCAUGGAUGUUUUACGGUCAUAAUGAUAAGGCCUCUUGAUUGGUUCUGUCCUUUUGAAACACUGAAGAACAUACUUGAGAUUGACAAUCCAAAGUCACUGAAAUUUGUUAAUCCAAUAUUUGACACAGGAUAGGCGAGAAUCAUAGUAUCUGACAGAAAAUAUUAAACUUAGCACUUGUUGGGAGGCAACCUAAUUUCUUAGUAGUCUUAAUAAAAGUCUG
rnacentral:lncRNA from 1 species